rnacentral:tRNA from 2 species
AUGCUAUGUAAAUUUUUGUUUACCGAGGGUUCGAAUCCCUCUCUUUC